GGUUUUAUAGUUCAGUGGAAGAACGUGUGCUUAACAUUUAGGACUUCGGUUCAAUGACACGCACAAGGUCCAGAGAUCGAAACUCUGUAGAAUCA